GGUGGGGAUAGAGGUCGCGGCUUUUAUAUCAUCCUGUACGAGAUUCAGAGAAAAUCAAUGACUCCAGGUAAGGAAAAUCCGCCGAAGCUCAUAUCGCGUCUCUGUGCGAUUGGGUUGGGGCUGUACUCGAAAGGGGCAGAACUGUCACGUUUGCAUGCCAAGCAAACGUGGUGAGCUAUCUUCAGU
rnacentral:ncRNA from 2 species